rnacentral:rRNA from 1 species
UUUGUCUAGUAAUCAUAUGUUUGUGUUUAAGAGUAAGCCUUUCAUGUAUAAGUAUAAACAAUAAUACAGUAAAACUGCAAAUGGCUCAUUAAAACAGUUAUAGUUUAUUUGAUAAUAAAAUAUAUUACAUGGAUAACCGUGGUAAUUCUAGAGCUAAUACAUGAGCAAAAUCUCAACUGUUAUAGAAGAGAUGCAUUUAUUAGAUAAAAAACCAGUACAUAUUUUUACAGUAUGAAAGUUGGUGAUUUACAAUAACUUAGCAAAUCGCAAAGUGUAAACAGGCGAUAAAUCAUUCAAGUUUCUGACCUAUCAGCUUUCGACGGUAUGGUAUUGGCUUACCGUGGCAGUGACGGUUAACGGGGGAUUAGGGUUCGAUUCCGGAGAGGGAGCCUGAGAAACAGCAACCACAUC